CGGGAUGAAUUUAUUUACUGUAUAAAAUCCAAGGUGCUUAUAAGAUUCCCUUUGUUUUCUCAAUGGUUCAUGGGAGAUUUUUUCUUCAGUUCCCUGUCAUACAGAAGCACAGUAAUGGAGUUGAAAGCUCAAUGUAUGAACCUUCUUGUAUCUAUCAGCACUUAGCAGGGAUACGUCUGCUAGCAAUGAAGUCGUCAGCUCCACCAUUCAUUUGUUGCUGCAAGAGCAAACGCCUGUAAACUGAACUAUGAAAUGGUAUCUCAGCAGUCUUCUCCUGUUCACAAUUGUGUAUAAUAUUUGCCAAAAGGUAAGUUCCAACCUGUAGUUUGAUGUUAACGAUAAUGAUUCUCAAUGAUGUUUCUACUUGCCUGUGGAGUCUCGACAUUAUGAUCUGUACAGUCUGAAGGUAUUGCAUCUGAUUUAAGCACAUCAUCGAAACUCGAUGUUGAGUGCAAAGUGAAGAUUCUUAUGUCGUCUUUCAAGCACACGAAGUGAAGAUGCGUCUCCCCAAGCACACUAGCUGCAGAAGUGAUUGUUCGGUCUUUCCGUUGAGCUUUCCUUUGUCUUGCAACCGGCGAUGGCAAUGCACUUCGACGCAGCUGAAAAUUCCAGCGCUCACCCCCCCGUAUUCCACUCCAACUCGAGCACGGGAGGAGCUGUCCAAGUCUGGAAGAUCGCGAC